GAUGAAGAACGUAGCAAAAUGCGAUACUUGGUGUGAAUUGCAGAAUCCCGUGAACCAUCGAGUUUUUGAACGCAAGUUGCGCCCGAAGCCUUUUGGCCGAGGGCACGUCUGCCUGGGCGUCACGCAUCGCGUCGCCCCCCACAAUUCUCUGCAAAGGGAACAUGUGUUUUGGGGGCGGAUAUUGGUCUCCCGUGCUCAUGGCGUGGUUGGCCGAAAUAGGAGUCCUUUCGAUGGACGCACGAACUAGUGGUGGUCGUAAAAACCCUCGUCUUUUGUUUCGUGCUGUUGCUCGCAAGGUAAACUCUUUAAAAACCCCAAUGUGUCGUCUCUUGACGGCGCUUCGACCGCGACCCCAGGUCAGGCGGGACUACCCGCUGAGUUUAAGCAUAUCAAUAAGCGGAGGA
rnacentral:misc_RNA from 1 species